CAUUAGAAAUGGCUCAAAAAUAUUUCUUACUUCUUAUUAUAUAUGUCAACUUUAACAAUUACUUAGUUUUCUUUUGAUUUUCAUAUUAUUCUUGGAAAAUAAUUACUUGUUUGUCUUAUGUCAUAAUAGAAGCAUUUGUUUCAAAUAACAUAUAUGAACUAUCAUGUAAAUUAAUUCGAAUGUAUGUUGUAUAAAAGCAUUGUCUUAAUUGAUAGAAGGAAGUUCAAUUUUUUUUGGCAGAAAGGAUAUAUUAUAUAUAAGUUAAAACAGUACACGAUUACUAUUAUAGCUAGUGAUUACAGAUAAGUUCUCGUAACUAGCUAACUUACUACAGGAUGACCUAAAUAUUUGCUUAGUAGUUAGAACUCCUUCUUGAUCUGCUUUGAGAAGUUCCAUUGCAGCUUCAGGCGGAGUAUGUAGAAUAUAUGAUUGAGGGGUCAUUGUUAGCUGAGAAUAUAUCUUGCACACAACCAAUAUUAUUGAUAUUAAUACCCAUAUCCAACCAGAAUUUCUUGGCUAUAUAACAAUCGUUGAAAAUGUGACUAAUGGUUUAAUUUCCAAUGUGACAAACUUGACAAACCAAGUUUGGCACGAUAUUGAUGUAGUGUAGGUAUGUUAUGAUUGGCAGCCGUCCGUGCGCACAGAGCCAAAGGAAAAAAUUUAGUUUUUGAGAUGUUCUCAAGUGCCAUAUCCAAGGAAAGGAAAGGAUCUAGAAGAUUGAGAAGCUAGAAGAUGUCUUACCGAUAGGGCAGAAAAGAUACCGCUGGUGGUAUUAAUCCAAUAAGGGAUGUCGAAGUCUCUAAUUUCGUCAGUGAGGCUAAUUUUUGAGGCCUUAGAAAGGAAAUCAGGAGGUAGUUCAAAAGAGAGUAUGAUAGAAUCCAUAAUUCUACUACAAGAAUAAUCAAUGUUUUGAUGAUAGACAAGAAAGUGCAAAUAAUAAGUAGCAGCAAAAGAAGCCCAGAUCGAGUAAAAUGGGUCAGCCAAGUAAUCAAGAAAAUAGAGUUAUUUGUCAAAGCCAAAAAUAAUAUAUUAAAGGUAUAAGUUGACACAAACAAGGAAAACCUUAAAUAUAUUAUUAAGGAAGGAAGUUGUAUAUAAUAAGGAUUGUACCUUAAAAGGGAAUCCUUGUUCAACAAUAACUUCCUUACCUUAUCUGAUAAGGAUUGAAGGCAAAAGAAACUCUAUAAGAAGAGGACGACGCUGAUGAAGAAUCUCACGACUUCACAGAGAGAGAAAAGAGAGAUUUAUUUAUCGAAUAGAAGUCUUCAAGAUCGAUAGGUUUGCUAAGUUUAAAACGUUCUUGAGUGAGAAGGUUUUCAACGUGUAAAACUAUCUUCUUGUUUUGUUCUUGAUUGUAAGUUACAAUUUAUUGUACAAAGGGUGGGUUUGGCUCUUUGUAGGGUUGAGUUUCAGUGAGGGUUGUAACAAAAGGUGGGUUUGGCCUUUUGAAGAGAUCGAUUGUAGUCAAUCGAGAGAGGGGUAAGGUUUCUUCAAGAGUUUCGACCAAUCCCAAGCGGAGCCCGUCCAAAAAUUAGAGAGCUUGAGGUGAUAUUCUCCUUUCAUAAGAGGACCAUGAAGCAGAUUUCUAAGGGGAGGAGUAUCGGAAAUCCAACGAUGAUGCCAUAUAUUGAUGGAUAGGCCAGACUUAGGGGACCAACCAAUUCGCUUCCCUGAAGAAUAUAAUGUUCUUCCAAAUGAAAGGUUGGAAAUUGGCGUAGGCUCUGUCUUUGUAUUUUUGGGUAAGGGUUGUUGCCCACUGAGACUUGCUGGUAGUGAGAAUUCUCCGUGCAAGGCUUGUAAGAAGGAUUUUGUUCUUAGUUUCAUCGCUUUGCAGUCCUAGACAACCAUUUUCUUUUGCAGAUGUGAUAUUAUCCCACGCAACAUAAUGAAGCUUUCGUUUAUGGAUAGAGGACCACAAAAUAAAAUCUCUCUGUAUUUUAUCUAUAGUGAGUCAGAUCUUCUUUCGAAGUAAAAAUUAUUUCAUGGUAUAAGCCGAGAUGGCAUUGAGGGUAGUCUUAGCUAGUCUAACGCGACCAACUAUCGUCAUGAAUUGAGUUUUCCAGUUGGAGAGCUUUUUCUUCAUGUUAUCAAUAAUGUAUUGAAAAUCCUUGGGUGUAGGCUUUUGAGAAAGAAUAGGGAAGCCAAGGUUUCCCAAAUUGAGAAGGAGUUAUACUCAACAUGUUUUUGCAA